rnacentral:rRNA from 1 species
CGUGGGUAACCUGCCCAAGAGAUCGGGAUAACACCUGGAAACAGAUGCUAAUACCGGAUAACAACAGAUGAUGCCUAUCAACUGUUUAAAAGAUGGUUCUGCUAUCACUCUUGGAUGGACCUGCGGUGCAUUAGCUAGUCGGUAGGGUAACGGCCUACCAAGGCGAUGAUGCAUAGCCGAGUUGAGAGACUGAUCGGCCACAUUGGGACUGAGACACGGCCCAAACUCCUACGGGAGGCAGCAGUA